UAUUGUACCCACUUCCUCCAUGGUAAGUCACAUCCAUCUCCACACUUGAGAAUCAAAACAGUAGUCUAAGUGGGGAAACAAAAACACUCCACGAGGCUCAUGCUGCCACCAUACCGGGGGCCCUCAAAGCUCGUCGCUGUCGUACCUAAAACACACAAGGCGCUCCCUUUUCAAUAGUGUUGCAAGAUGAAAACAUCAUUUGCAGCUCUCAAAUAAUUCAGAUGAAUAACAUGGCAUCGAAGUAAACAUUUAUAGUUACUAAAGAAACAUCACCAGCUACAAGCUGCAUCAGGUUUAAUAUGCCAUUAAAUUAAACAGAGCUAACAAGUUCAUUUCCCAACAGUUGUAGGCAUGUUAGACUUUCAAAAAGAAAUCUAUCUAUCUACCACAUAAAUUCAUCACACAAAUCACACAAGAGGAGACAUCUUGGAUUUUACCUACAAAAUUCCACUAUGGCAAUCAUCACCACCUCAUCGCAGGAACAACCACCCUUCCUCUCUCGCUGUCGGCUGCCAAUCCAGUCUCAUCAACCCAUCCUCGUAGCUCCCGGGCCACCCCAGGCCACUCUAGUGAACAUGUUUUAGUUUUCUUCUCUUAUCC
rnacentral:lncRNA from 1 species